rnacentral:rRNA from 1 species
GACGAACGCUGGCGGCGUGCUUAACACAUGCAAGUCGAACGGAAAGGCCCUGCCUUGGUGGGGUGCUCGAGGGGCGAACGGGUGAGUAACACGUGAGUAAGCUGCACCUGACUUAGGGAUAACUUCAGGAAACUGGGGCUAAUACCGGAUAGGAGCUCUUGCUGCAUGGUGGGGGUGGGAAAGUUUCGGCGGUUGGGGAUGGACUCGCCGCUUAUCAGCAUGAUGGUUGGGUAGUGGCUUAGCAAGGCUUGGACGCGUAGCCGACCUGGGAGGGUGACCGGCGCCAACGGGACUGGGCUACGACCCAGACUCCUACGUGGGGGAGCAGUGGAGAAUAUUCCACACUACGCGGAAGCCUGUUGCGAUCACGCCGCGUCCGGGAUGUCGUCCUUCGCGUUGUAAACUGAUUUCGCCUGAGACGAGCCGAGAAUGACGGUAAUGGGUAAAGAAGCACCGGCUAACUACGUG